UCCCAAAUCAAACCGAAUCCCUAGCUCAUACGCCGCUUCUUCUCGGCGCAGCCGAGACACCAUCAUCGCUCAUCGUCGCUCACGGCGCCCUGUUUGCUCGCCUCCGUGAAGGACGACCGGUGACCUCGUCGCAGGACUCCCUCCGCCGGCACUUCUCGUCACUGCCCUUUCGCGAGGCAGCCUCGACACCCUUCGGCGCUCGCACAGCAGCUGCUGGAGUCAGCGGCGCUCGCCGUCGUCGCUGAUUCGCUGCUGACCUGAGAUUCACGCCGCCGCUGCCGAUCUUCUUUAGCGGCGAGCCGUCGCGUAUCACGGUUGCCUUGCGGUCAACUUCCGGCUUCACCGUCUGGCCGCCACCAACUCCGACAGAAACUCCCAAAGCUAAGCCUCCUAUCUUAGCUACUUAGGUGGUUUCUUUAAGUUGGUUCUGUUCUUGUUUUGCUUAUUCUUAGAUUUGGGCAGAUUGUGUUCAUUUUUCACAGUAACUGCAGUAGCUUGUCUAGAGCUUCUAGAUUUGCAUGAUUUUCUUUGCGAAACUUGAUUUCGGAACAGCUGUGUUGUCAUCUAAAGCUCUAAAUCCUCAGUUUCGCUUACUGGUCUGAUAUGAUGUUGGAUUCUAAAGCAUGCUCCUAUGUUCUCGAGCUUCUGUGCUCCUAAGUUCUCAUGCUUUAGCUAUUGUGUGCUAUAUGAUGCAACUGAGUUGUUGGGAGAUUACCUGCUGUGUGUUGAUUUUGGCUACUAUCUCAAGCUCGGUUCCUCGUCUCCCUCACUCCUCUUGCUGCCUCGGUCCCUCUCUGCCUUACUUCACUAUCUUGUGAUUGAGUUUGUGGUGAGGAAGGCAGAGGCUAAGGCCUUAUUUAUGCUUGUGGCCUAACUGAAAGCCUGAAAAAGGCUGAGUGUUGGCUGACCUUGCAGCAUCCUUUAACUGAUUUGGUGUUUUUGUGCUGCCUUGUACUCUGAUUCAUUUAUGGAUUUUGUCUCUUUUGCAGGUGCACACCAGAGCAGGCAUUUGGGGCUGGUUUCCGGACUAUAACAGGUCCGGUUGGGGGAAGUAAGGGCUGUUAUCUGCAGCUUUGCAGAGUCUUAGCUGGAGGGGAGCCUGCUGGCUGGAGUUUGCCUCUUUCGGUCCAACUCUCACCCCCAUCUCUGAAAGGAGCUGCGGCUGGUCAACGAGGCUGUCUUCCCUCGUGGUCUCGCCCUCCUAGCUCGUUUACAAUUUGGGGCCAAGACGGCCCAGUGACGAAGGCCAAAGUAGCCCUUAGGGAUUUCUAAAUGUAAUAGUGUAGUAGCUCAACUUUUAAUUUUCGUCGUCAAAGAUUGUAACUUUAGUUUUGAGAUUCUGAAAACUGUAAUUUGUACCAUUUCUCAAGAAAUAAAAAUACUCUUUCAUUCGUUAAA